rnacentral:rRNA from 1 species
GAUGAACGCUGGCGGCGUGCUUAACACAUGCAAGUCGAACGGGACUAUUUUCAAACAAGGCUUCGGCCGCGGGAGGAUUUAGUCUAGUGGCGGACGGGUGAGUAACACGUGAGCAACCUGCCCUUAAGAGGGGGAUAACGUCUGGAAAUGGACGCUAAUACCGCAUAACAUACCGAAGUGGCAUCGUUUUGGUAUCAAAGGAGAAAUCCGCUUAAGGAUGGGCUCGCGCCCGAUUAGAUAGUUGGCGGGGUAACGGCCCACCAAGUCGACGAUCGGUAGCCGGACUGAGAGGUUGAUCGGCCACAUUGGGACUGAGACACGGCCCAGACUCCUACGGGAGGCAGCAGUGGGGAAUAUUGCACAAUGGGGGAAACCCUGAUGCAGCGACGCCGCGUGAAGGAAGAAGUAUCUCGGUAUGUAAACUUCUAUCAGCAGGGAAGAAAGCGUGAGCAAUCACGCCUGACGGUACCUGACUAAGAAGCCCCGGCUAAUUACGUGCCAGCAGCCGCCGUAAGAC